rnacentral:rRNA from 1 species
UACGUAGGCAGCGAGCGUUGUUCGGAGUUACUGGGCGUAAAGGGUGUGUAGGCGGUUGUUUAAGUUUGGUGUGAAAUCUCCCGGCUCAACCGGGAGGGUGCGCCGAAUACUGAAUGACUCGAGUGCGGGAGAGGAGAGUGGAAUUCCUGGUGUAGCGGUGAAAUGCGUAGAUAUCAGGAGGAACACCGGUGGUGUAGACGGCUCUCUGGACCGUAACUGACGCUGAGACACGAAAGCGUGGGUAGGCAAACAGG